UAGUCCACGCCGUAAACGAUGACAACUAGCCGUUGGGCAGAUUUAACUGUUCAGUGGCACAGCUAACGCAUUAAGUUGUCCGCCUGGGGAGUACGGCCGCAAGGCUAAAACUCAAAUGAAUUGACGGGGGCCCGCACAAGUGGUGGAGCAUGUGGUUUAAUUCGAUGCAACGCGAAGAACCUUACCAAUCCUUGAAAUCUAGCGAAGUUCGCAGAGAUGUGAAUGUGCCUUCGGGAACGCUAUGACAGGUGUUGCAUGGCUGUCGUCAGCUCGUGUUGUGAAAUGUCAAGUUAAGUCUUGUAACGAGCGCAACCCAUGUCUUUUGUUGCUGUUUACAGUGCUUAAAAGAGACUGCCGCUCUACAGCGGAGGAAGGUGUGGAUGAUGUCAAGUCAGCAUGCCCCUUAUAUCUUGGGCUACACACGUACUACAAUGGUAGGGACAAUGAGUCGCAAACCUGCGAAGGCUAGCCAAUCUCAAAAACCCUAU
rnacentral:rRNA from 1 species